AAAAGGCAAUUCUUGUUGUUUAAUCUUUCCAGUCCAGAUGUACUCUACCCUAAGGAAGAUCUGUUGAUGCAGUCUAUUCAGAUGCAGGAUUCGGACCCAGGAUUCACCCUGCUCCUAAGCCUGGACGAGGACAGCCGGGAGGGGAAGGAGCGGUGGGUGCCCGGGCGGGAGCAGCGGAGGGCAGGGGAGCCGCGCUGCCACAGAGCGGAGCGCAGGAUGGCCGUGCCGGGGACGGCUGCCGCAGGGCCACUUGUGCCGGCCUCCGCAGGGGGUAGUUUGGCAAUGGCCAGUGUCAGUGCACCUUUCAGAACCUGCGGUGAAGCCACGGUCCCUGCACAGUAUUUCUUGCUCGGAUUGCAAAGUGGGUGCAGAGCAGUCCCUCCAAGGCUGGACAGCACACGGCAGCUGCGGUAGCUCUCCCCUGCCACCGAAGCGAGGCAUGGCUAAUGCACAUCCAGCCAGACAAACGGACCGGGCUGAUUCCGAACUUGGAGUGACCCUGGGUCAACUGCACCUUCGUACUUUGUGUUACAAGGAAAUGCCGUGCAGCAGCACCCCAUGACCUGGUGUUCGCAGGAGAUGGCCAUCAAUGAAAAACUCUAAUGAAAACACAGCGUCCACCGAGUCUCUCCAUUAUGUGCUCAUUCUUUUUAUGCUCUCAAACUAGUUUUUCCCCUUCGUUUUUUUUUUCCUUUUUUCUUUUUUUUUUUUUUUUCUUGUUCUUUUUUCUUUCUCUCCUGUUGCUAAUGAGCACUUGAGAAUUUGAUUUAGCUCCUUGGAAUGACUGCCACUUACUGCUAGAAUGUUAAUCUGUCUAAACCCAUUCAGCUCCUCUUACUUGGAAGUCAAUCACCUGGAGCCUGCAUUUUAAAGAGACGCUGGCUAAAGCAGUAGUAACAGCAGAGAUGUUUUGGGACAAUUCCCACAGUUGGGAGCAAUCUCGGGAAGCUCAUAGCUACUUGACGGCAGACAGUGUUGAAUCUCCGGCAUAAGCAGAAGUGGAGCAAACCCCGACAAAGAGCAGAAGGGCAAAUGGAAGGGAGACAGGAGGCUGUUGAGCUGCAGCUCCCACACGGGAUACUGUACUGGCGUGUUUUGGGGAACAACCUUUAGUUAAUGGUGAGAAUAUACCCAAGGAGGGCAUAGGCAAACGAGGUCAGAGGAGGUACUCCAAAACACAGCUGGAGAUAAAGCUUUAAAGUCUCAGAGGAGGAGUUUGGCUUUCCAGAAGUAAUCAGAGAGAGAAUUUAAUUUGUCUUGUGGUGGCCAUUUUUUAAACCCCUGUUUGGAGGGGUUUAAAAUGCACAGAAUUCCAUAUUAAAUGUAGGACACAUGGACAUCACUUGGGAUAGUUGAUGUUGUAGUGGAGCUGUGUACCUGUAAAUCAUCCCACUGUGCUAUUCUGGAAAUGUUUCUGUUUUAGCUUCCUUAGCACGCUUAGAAACCCCUGUCUGUCAGACCAUGCUGCCCAGGCCAGAGGGGCAGCCACUGCUGGCCGCGAGUAGGAGAGCCAGGAUCUGGGGGGUGCACUCGGAGUGGAGGGGACAAUGAGGUCCCUGACUACCAGAAUUGCUCCUGGGUAUUGCUUUGCAUUUUUGAAAUGGGAAGAAGUGUGUUUUACCUGUGGUACACCCCACCUCUUUCACUGUCCCUUCACUCCCUCUGCAGUUCUCUGAUGGCAAACUUUGCAGAGAGAAGAUGUAAUAACUUAACAGCAAGAAAGGUUGCUUUGCUGCUGCUAUGGAGGAGCAGACUGCUCCUGUGAUCCCAUGUGGAAAAGCACAUUUUUGGAAUAAGUAAAAUGUUCAGAGACAUUAUUUGCUCUUUCAAUAAAAUUUUCCCUUCUAAAUAAGAAAUGCAUCUUUGGAGUGCAUCUCCAGAACCUUAUAAAUAAGAAAUGAAGAAGGAAGGUCACAGUAUAUAUUUUGUCAGCAUAUGCAAUCUUUUAUGAAGAGACAGUUGGAGAUGGAACUGGGACUCCUUUAGGUACUUGUACAUUUAUCUGCUGUCCUAGUUCUGAAACAAAAGAACAUAAAAAAUUAAAAGUCCAAUGCACCACUAUAAUUGAUUUAUAAGCCAAAUGGAAGAUUGUGUCCAUAAGGUUUAGGAGACUUAUCUUACAUGACACCUAAUGCUGUAUGACCAGCCUGAUACGCUUGCUACAGCGUAUGAUCAGAAGAAUAUUUUAGCAGUUGCAUUUAAGCCUGCAGUAUGCAGGCACAGUAAUAUCCUAGUACCUAAGUUUUGAUGUAAACUUUCUUUAAAUUACUUAUUAAUUAGCAAAAGUGGUUUGAGGGAUCAAGUACAGCAAUAUCAAUGUGGUUUCAAGUUCUCCUCAAAAGGGAUUUUUGUUGUCUAUAAUGGAAGAGCUACUUUAGUGAAUUUGCUUCUAAUUUUCCAUAGACUUCAAUAGGAAAAAUGGUAGGAAGAGCAAUAUAUUCUGUUUCUGAAAAUUUCAAAAGAAAAUGAUGGACUCAAUCUGUUGCAGUUACCAGCAAUGCACCCACUGCAGAGUGCCUCAGGGGAAAGCCUAGUACCCAGUAGCACUAGCAACUGGGUAAGCCUAAGACCAUCAAAGAAAAACAUCCAAAAAUGGCCAUUAUUCAAAGAAUGAGAUGUUUUCAGGUACUUUGCUGGAAAAAAGAAGGAGCAUUAAGUGCAGCCAGGUUCCUAAGCUAAUGUGGAUGGCUGGCUUUGUAUUGUGAAGCCAGAAAAAUUUGCCCCUGUUCAUGUGGCAGUCCUGUGGCAACAUGAGUCUUUGUGUGUGAAGAAAUUAAUGUCUUCUCCAUUUAUUAACAUCAAUUCUUUGUAAAAAAAUUAAGAGAUGGACAGAUUGUAGGUACCUGAAGAAGAUUUCUAAUCUCCUGUCAACUGGGGAAGCCAUUUCUUAAAAAUGAAUAAAUCUCCAGCUUAUUUCAGCUCACAGGUUUUAAGCUUUAAAAAAAAAAGUUUUAAUGAUUUCUAUUUUAUUUUAAUUAUCUGAGGUCUAAAGGAAAACUGGUUUUUGACACACAAGAGUAUUCAGAGCUUUUGGCAGUGAUGGGAAGAUAAAAUAAAGCUAUUUAAUGUCUGGAUGAAAUAACCAGACCUGCCAAAAAAAUUCCUUAGGGAGGUAGAGGAAGAGCAAUCUUCAGGCUUUUCUUCAUCGAUUAUUGUGGCUGAGGGACAGAUGAACACCUGUACGAGUUGUGACUGUGGAACCUCUGCCUUGCACCCCUCUGCACAGGGGCAGUCACCCUGGGCUCAGAAGCGUAGAGGGGACGCAAGUCUUCCAAGCCUGGCCAAGACUUGGUCAUGCUGCCAAUGUAGCCCCUGCAGGAUUAAAAAACCUUUUGUCUUUUAAUUCACUCUGCAAGGAUACCUGAGGUAUCUAAUUUUAAAAAUCUUUAAAAAGUAUGUCAGCCACGAGUUUGAUCUUUCAAUAAUUUGCAUGAGUCCCAUUCCCCGAAAAGUAGAGGUUUGUUAUUAUAAAUGGUUGUCAAUGACUGGGGUUAAGCUGUAAGCUGAUC